UAAAUUGAAAUACAAAGACCAAGCGGACAAUAUACCACAACAAUUGCACAAUGAUCCAUGAACACCUUGGUAUUCGAGACAAGAACGCAUAAAUAAAUGCUUAAUACUUAAAUGUAACGAGAUCGAAAGCGGUACUCUAAACCGGGUGGAGACAACACUGGGUAAACCAGGAUUAUUAUGGAUAUUGACUAAACAGUCUUGGUGAUAGAUCAAUAAUCACUAACUGAUAGAUGCGGAAUUAUUUUCAAUUGCAUAAGUCGUUCGAACGCUAACUCGAAGUAAAUCAUACCUUGCAACUGGCAGAGAGGAUGGCUUUGGGGUGACCACAUCGUGUAAGAAAAUAGUAC
rnacentral:lncRNA from 1 species